AACGUAGGACGCAAGCGUUAUCCGGAGUUACUGGGCGUAAAGCGCACGCAGGUGGCUGAGUCAGUCGAUUGUGAAAGCCCUGGGCUUAACCUGGGAAUUGCAGUCGAUACUACUCAGCUAGAGUAUGGGAGAGGGUAGUGGAAUUCCCGGUGUAGCGGUGAAAUGCGUAGAUAUCGGGAGGAACAUCAGUGGCGAAGGCGGCUACCUGGCCCAAUACUGACACUCAGGUGCGACAGCGUGGGGAGCAAACAGG
rnacentral:rRNA from 1 species